UAAGGAAUAUUGGUCAAUGGGCGGAAGCCUGAACCAGCCAUGCCGCGUGCAGGAAGACGGCCCUACGGGUUGUAAACUGCUUUUAUACGGGAAUAAACCUUCUUUCGUGAAAGAAGCUGAAUGUACUGUAAGAAUAAGGAUCGGCUAACUCCGUGCCAGCAGCCGCGGUAAUACGGAGGAUCCAAGCGUUAUCCGGAUUUAUUGGGUUUAAAGGGUGCGUAGGUGGCCUGGUAAGUCAGGGGUGAAAGACGGUCGCUUAACGAUCGCAGUGCCUUUGAUACUGCCGGGCUUGAAUGAACUAGAGGUAGGCGGAAUGUGACAAGUAGCGGUGAAAUGCAUAGAUAUGUCACAGAACACCGAUUGCGAAGGCAGCUUACUAUGGUUUUAUUGACACUGAGGCACGAAAGCGUGGGGAUCAAACA
rnacentral:rRNA from 1 species